CGUCUAUAUACGUAUAGCAUAUCAAUAAGCGGAGGAAAAGAAACUAACUAGGAUUCCCUCAGUAACGGCGAGUGAAGCGGGAAGAGCUCAAAUUUGAAAUCUUCAAGGUUCUACCUUGACGAAUUGUAGUUUAAAGAAGUGUUUUCUGUUGGAGUUUUGGUAAAAGUUCUUUGGAAUAGGACAUCAUAGAGGGUGAGAAUCCCGUAUUUGACCAUUAUUUCCAACUUUGUGAUACACUUUCAAAGAGUCGGAUUGUUUGGGAAUGCAGUCCAAAAUGGGUGGUAAAUUUCAUCUAAAGCUAAAUACUGGCGAGAGACCGAUAGCGAACAAGUACCGUGAGGGAAAGAUGAAAAGAACUUUGAAAAGAGAGUUAAACAGUACGUGAAAUUGUCAAAAGGGAAGCGUUUGACACCAGUGUUGUUUUCUCGAAAAUCAAUUAAAAAUGGCGGGAUUUUGUGUUGUAUUGACUUUAUCAGCUUUCUGCACUUUUUUCCUUGUCCUUUUUUAAUGCACUUUUCGUUUAACAAGUCAACAUCAAUUUCUUUUGCUGUAAAAGGGUCAUUGGAAGGUGGCUUUCUUUUCGGAGAAAGUGUUUAUAGCCUUUGGCCUUCUGCAAUCGGAGAGAUUGAGGUCUGCAGCGUAGAUCCUUCGGGGUUAGAUGCAUUUGUGCUAAGUUAUAGCCUUUCAUAGACAACUUGUUGACUAUGAUCAGUCAUGUAGCUUACUCGCUUAUGCUAUUUUACCUACGCUUAGGAUGUUGACGAUCAGCUGAGCGC
rnacentral:rRNA from 1 species